AUUCACAGAAGUGAGAUCCUUCUGUCUUCACUCAAGUUUUUAUUCCACUAUUUUUGGUGAUCCCCUUUAGCUCCAAUUUUUUUAACAGCAUUACACUGGAUUAAGAGCCCAACCAAAUUCAGAAUUUGGAGAUCAUAUGUUUGCAAGUAUCCUGCCAUGAAAACAGAGAAAAAUAAAACCUAUCCCCAUCUAUGCUUCCAAAAACAAGAAGAUGGGAAAAACUGAGACAUCAGACACUGAGUGCUGCAGAGCACCUUCAAAAAGUCCAUUUAAACUUCUCUUACUCCGAGAAAGAAAAUGGGAUGCCAGACCUUGCAGUAAUACUGUCCUCAUUUGAAUCAGCUUUACUACAACAUCAUCUCUGAAGGGAGCACAAGAAAACGGGAAUGGUGAUGAACACAACUGGUUCCAUUCUCUCCAGCUCUCAGGCAGGGAAGCUGAAGGUGAACAAAAAUGAUGAGCUCUUCUUCAUCCCUGCAGUAAGACGAGACCAAAACCUGAGGAAUGCGAGCAGUGACAUGGGGCUUACACGGAUCAGACAGUAACUGCUAGAGAUGAUCCUACCUAAAUUUAAUAGCAGACAACACUCCUUCAUUAAAUACACAAUUUUUGAAAACAUACAGUAAAAUAAGCAAAUUAUAAAUGUAAUUAAACUAAUCAGACUAAUUCAUUAGCAGUACUUUUUGCUCUCCUUGAAUAUUUAUUUUUACUGGUAAUGAAGCAACUCUCUCUAAAGAAUUCUUUAGAAAGCAAACACACUAUGUAUAGAAGAUAAUUUACAAGAUUUUUUAAUUAUGUCGCAUUAUUUUAUUGCUUGUAACGUUGAUGCCUGGGAAGCCACAACCCGCUUUUUUACGUGCAAGCCAAUGAAAAUAUUGCUGGAUACAUCCUCACACUUAGUGUCAUUCUUUCAAAUAAAUAAUUGUUACAG
rnacentral:lncRNA from 7 species